UCUGACAAAACUGGGCCUCCAGCAUCUCCAGAAGAUUGGCACAACUUAAGGCCAGCUCUAUGUGGUUGCAAGAGUUGAUACCGGGUUGACCUUUUCCAAUAAACAGUUAAAUCAUCAACAUAUUAGCAUAUUUACUGACACUUUUCAUUGGACCAUUGGACCAAUAUGAGCCAUGAUGUCAAAUGAACUAGAACUGAACUCUUCUUUUAUUUUGACAUUUUUCUUUUUACUUUUGUAGUCUGAUUUCUUGUAAAAGAACACAGCCACUCAUUUUCCAGCAUUUUGCAAGUCCCUGCUUUUGUACAUUUCUAAAGCCAUUAUUGGAACAUCCAAUAGAAGAGAAGAUUGACUGUCUUUAGAAGAAGCCAAAGAACUCUACAGCAACACUGCAGUGAAGAGAAGAGCAUUUGGGGAAAGUAUAUGGAGUCAAGGCCACAGUGCCCUGCAACUGCCAUGAGGGGACCGAGAUGUAUCUUCAGUUUUGGAUGGUGACUGAUUGGAU